GAUGAACGCUGGCGGCGUGCUUAACACAUGCAAGUCGAACGAAGCACCUCUCCCGAAGAUUGACACAGCUUGCUGUAGAUUGAUUCAUUUGAGGUGACUGAGUGGCGGACGGGUGAGUAACGCGUGGGUAACCUGCCUCAUAGAGGGGGACAACAGUUGGAAACGACUGCUAAUACCGCAUAGUAAGAAGAAUUCGCAUGUUUUCUUCUUGAAAGAUUUAUCGCUAUGAGAUGGACCCGCGUCUGAUUAGCUAGUUGGUAAGGUAACGGCUUACCAAGGCGACGAUCAGUAGCCGGCUUGAGAGAGUGAACGGCCACAUUGGGACUGGGACACGGCCCAAACUCCUACGGGAAGCAGCAGUGGGGAAUAUUGCACAAUGGGGGAAACCCUGAUGCAGCGACGCCGCGUGAGUGAAGAAGUAUUUCGGUAUGUAAAGCUCUAUCAGCAGGGAAGAUAAUGACGGUACCUGACUAAGAAGCCCCGGCUAACUACGUG
rnacentral:rRNA from 1 species